rnacentral:rRNA from 1 species
UACGGAAUGUGCAAACGUUAUUCGGAAUCACUGGGCUUAAAGAGUCCGUAGGCGGCAUGUUAGGUGAGGUGUGAAAUCCCCCGGCUCAACCGAGGAAUUGCGCUUCAAACCGGCGUGCUUGAGGAAGAUAGAGGUGGGCGGAACUGAUGGUGGAGCGGUGAAAUGCGUUGAUAUCAUCAGGAACACCGGAGGCGAAGGCGGCCCACUGGGUCUUUUUCUGACGCUGAGGGACGAAAGCUAGGGGAGCGAACGGG